rnacentral:rRNA from 1 species
GUGAAUCAUCGAAUCUUUGAACGCACCUUGCGCUCCUUGGUAUUCCGAGGAGCAUGCCUGUUUGAGUGUCAUGAAAUUCUCAACCCAUAAGUCCUUGUGAUCUAUGGGCUUGGAUUUGGAGGCUUGCUGGCCCUAGCGGUCGGCUCCUCUUGAAUGCAUUAGCUUGAUUCCGUGCGGAUCGGCUCUCAGUGUGAUAAUUGUCUACGCUGUGACCGUGAAGCGUUUUGGCAAGCUUCUAACCGUCCAUUAGGACAAUCUUUCAACAUCUGACCUCAAAUCAGGUAGGACUACCCGCUGAACUUAAGCAUAUCAAUAAGCGGAGGAAAAGAAACUAACAAGGAUUCCCCUAGUAACUGCGAGUGAAGCGGGAAAAGCUCAAAUUUAAAAUCUGGCGGUCUUUGGCCGUCCGAGUUGUAGUCUGGAGAAGCGUUUUCCGCGUUGGACCGUGUACAAGUCUCUUGGAACAGAGCGUCAUAGAGGGUGAGAAUCCCGUCUUUGACACGGACUACCAAUGCUUUGUGAUGCGCUCUCAAAGAGUCGCGUUGUUUGGGAAUGCAGCGCAAAAUGGGAGGUGAAUUCCUUCUAAAGCUAAAUAUUGGCGAGAGACCGAUAGCG